ACGCAAUUCAUUGACCUGCUUUCUUGCAUAUGUGAGCAGUUAUUUCCUACAUGCUACACAAAUAGGUGAAGGUUAAUCAGCAGUAUAACUAUAAACAGUAACGCUGCCAGUCUCCUUCAGACAAAA